CUUCAGGAGGACAUCAUCUUGCAUCUCAAGCAGACUGCUGGUGUACUGAUGCUGAUGCUUUCCUAAAUCAUAGAAGCAUAGAAUGGCUUGGGAUUGAAGGACCCCAAGGGUCAUCAAGCUCCACCUCCUCUGACAGAGGCAGGGAAAAGACCUUCAAGAUCAAGUCCAAUCUUACCUACUGUAUCCUGUCACUAUACUGUUCCUUAGUGCCAUGUCCUCAUACCACGUCCUUCAAUACCUUAAAUGAGAUGGAAAUUCCACCUUUUCUCCGAGCAGCCCAUUCCAAAGCUUGACAAUCUUCUACAUGUAGAAAUUCUUCGCAAAGUUAUAUAGUUUUGGUUGCAGUAUGUGAAAAUUGUGCAACAUCUAACUUUUUUUUAACAGAUUUUUUGCAAUGUUUUACCUGUAUGUUAUUUUGCUAUUUAUAUUGAAAAAAAAAGUAUUCUGGAAGUUUAUCUAAGGAAAAUUUGACCUAAAUUACAUCUUUGAUGAGUUCUUAAAAAACUAACUAAUUAAUUAAUUAAUUAAUUUUUAAUUAAGAUUUAAAAUAUUGUGUCUAAUUUAAACGUGUUCUUCCUCACUGUCUGUAACUAGGGACUGAUACAAAUAUAUUAAUAUUAAAUGAUGUUUAUCUGAUUUUAAUAGUUUUGUUUUACUACCACUAAAAGUAAUGAUUUCUUCUAUUACAUGCGUUUAAUUUCAAUCUUAGAGAUAAGAAUGUGCUUAUUUAGAAAAUCUAUGUCUAUUCAUAAGUUAAGCUUUUGCUUAACUUUAGCAUAUUUGAAUUCCUUUGAAUUGCAUAUGAACUAAGGAUCUGUACUGUACAUAAUUUCACUGCAGAAAGUGUUGUUUGUUUUCCUAGAGCUGUCAAUGUCAUUUUUUUUUAACAGACACUGCAUGACUGACAUGGGAAACAACGAACCAUUCAGUGUUUUAAAUGUCAUACGAAAUACUGUCUAGAACAUUGUUCCAAUGAGUAAAUUUUGUUAUCUAUACUUAAUAGGAAAAUUAUUCCAUUUAAUGUACUUAACAAUGACAUAAAUAUGAGAUCU
ensembl:lncRNA